CGUAACGCGUGAGCAACCUACCCAUAUCAGGGGGAUAGCCUCUCGAAAGAGAGAUUAACACCGCAUAACAUCAUUUACCGGCAUCGGAUUAUGAUCAAAUAUUUAUAGGAUAUGGAUGGGCUCGCGUGACAUUAGCUAGUUGGAGGGGUAACGGCCCACCAAGGCUACGAUGUCUAGGGGCUCUGAGAGGAGAAUCCCCCACACUGGUACUGAGACACGGACCAGACUCCUACGGGAGGCAGCAGUAAGGAAUAUUGGUCAAUGGAGGGAACUCUGAACCAGCCAUGCCGCGUGCAGGAUGACUGCCCUAUGGGUUGUAAACUGCUUUUGUCAGGGAAUAAACCUUUCCACGUGUGGGAAGCUGAAUGUACCUGAAGAAUAAGGAUCGGCUAACUCCGUGCCAGCAGCCGCGGUAAUACGGAGGAUCCAAGCGUUAUCCGGAUUUAUUGGGUUUAAAGGGUGCGUAGGCGGUCCUAUAAGUCAGUGGUGAAAGACGGCAGCUUAACUGUCGCAGUGCCUUUGAUACUGUAGGACUUGAAUCUAUUUGAAGUGGGCGGAAUAAGACAAGUAGCGGUGAAAUGCAUAGAUAUGUCUUAGAACUCCGAUUGCGAAGGCAGCUCACUAAGUUAGUAUUGACGCUGAUGCACGAAAGCGUGGGGAUCAAACAGGAUUAGAUACCCUGGUAGUCCACGCCCUAAACGAUGAUAACUCGAUGUUUGCGAUACACAGUAAGCGUCCAAGCGAAAGCGUUAAGUUAUCCACCUGGGGAGUACGGUCGCAAGAUUGAAACUCAAAGGAAUUGACGGGGGCCCGCACAAGCGGAGGAGCAUGUGGUUUAAUUCGAUGAUACGCGAGGAACCUUACCCGGGCUUGAAAGUUAGUGAAUGAUCCAGAGACGGAUCAGUCCUUCGGGACACGAAACUAGGUGCUGCAUGGCUGUCGUCAGCUCGUGCCGUGAGGUGUUGGGUUAAGUCCCGCAACGAGCGCAACCCCUAUGUUUAGUUGCCAGCACAUUAAGGUGGGGACUCUAAACAGACUGCCAGCGUAAGCUGUGAGGAAGGUGGGGACGACGUCAAGUCAUCAUGGCCCUUACGUCCGGGGCUACACACGUGCUACAAUGGAUGGUACAGCGGGCAGCUACAUAGCAAUAUGGUGCUAAUCUCUAAAAGCCAUUCACAGUUCGGAUUGAGGUCUGCAACUCGACCUCAUGAAGUUGGAUUCGCUAGUAAUCGCGUAUCAGCAAUGACGCGGUGAAUACGUUCCCG
rnacentral:rRNA from 1 species